CAGUUUAAGCUGGUGUUAAAGUAGACAAGCAGACUGGUUAAGACCACCAAGACUAAAUGAAGUUGUUUGUCACAGACAUCUUAGGAGGAAGAGAAUACAGAUACCAGACAUUUUCUUUACUAAAAUGGACAGUUUUUUUUUCUUUCUUUUUUUCCUUUUAAAAGAUUUUUUAUAUAGAAGAAAUCUGAAAAUUUGGGGUGAAGAAAAUCUACUUUGGGUCCCAAUGCGACUGAAAAGGACUGUGAAAGAACAAUAUGAACCCCAAGAUGAUUCUCUUACUCCUGAUGAUUGAGACCGGGAUAAGUAUACCCUUGUAGGCCAAAGUCUAUCGAAUUAUCUGAAAGGGGAACUGGUCGCAGAAGCUGGAAAGGUUGCAGACGAAGCUACAGAUACAGAUCCUGAACCUUAUUGGAACCAGAGUGGAACCAGUGACCCUUGGAGACUUCACCUCUUGACUUACCUCUGCAUUUUUCUCACUUCAAAGAAUGGGUGGGGGUGGCUCUGUUUAGCGCAGCCCUGUGUUGUGGAUUAGUGCUUAUACUAUGACUGGUUUGCAAACUCAGAUCUCAGCAGAAACGUGACAAGGUGGUAAUUGCUCAAGCACUUGCUGCCAUAGAGCAAGGCACCUCCCCUGAAAUUUGGCUAUCUAUUCUCAAGAAUUAGUUGGCAUUUGAGUUCUCUGCCUUUGCAUUCCACGAAUUUGUGGAUACAUUGCAUUGAGAUGAGAGAAACUCAACGAUCAUUGAUCAACCCGUGUGCAUUGCUGAGGUUUCCUCAUUGCAUGUGAUAGAAUGACCAUGAUUUCCCCACUAAUUUAUUUUUGGCUGGCCUCUUCUGUAGAGUUCACCCUAGGCCAUUUAGCAGUUGUAGUCACACAGCACUGUGGUAUCCAGAGACGGGCAACUUUCCUCGUGCACAGACCAACCUAAGACAAUGGGGCCCGGUGGUGAUAGGGUUACCCGAUAACGGGUAAGGCUGUGACAUUGGAGGAACGACCUAAAACAGGGGCCACAGCAGAUGGACGUAACUACAGAGGCCUAGACCAGCCUCAUUUUUAUUAAAACAUAAAGGGGGAGAUGUGGAGAGCCGCAAUAACAUUUACCAUCUUAAGAUGGCGCUGGCUCCGCAGUGCCUUAUGCCACCUAAACAAAGAACAAGCUAUAUGUGCAUCUGCUAAAAGCAAAAACCCACCAAAAGUCACCAGCCCAUUUCCAGGGCACCGGUCCAUCCCCCAGGGCACUAGCCCAACCCCUGGGGCGUUUAGCCUAUCCCUAGGGUGCAUGAGAUUUGUGGGUGUAGCUACCAGUCCUAGUUUAGACACGUCACCAAAAAGUAUUUAAGCCACACACUUUCUGAGCCUUCUUUGUCUACCUCAAUAUGUUAUGAAGUAAAGUUAACCAUGAAAGAA
rnacentral:lncRNA from 1 species